GAUGAACGCUAGCGGCAGGCCUAACACAUGCAAGUCGAGGGAGAAGCCCUUUCGGGGGCAGAAACCGGCGCACGGGUGCGUAACGCGUAUGCAACCUACCUUUCACAGGGGGAUAGCCCGAAGAAAUUUGGAUUAAUACCCCAUAAUAUUAUUGGAUGGCAUCAUUUGAUAAUUAAAACUGCGGUGGUGAAAGAUGGGCAUGCGUCCUAUUAGCUAGUUGGAGUGGUAACGGCACCCCAAGGCUACGAUAGGUAGGGGUCCUGAGAGGGAGAUCCCCCACACUGGUACUGAGACAGGGACCAGACUCCUACGGGAGGCAGCAGUGAGGAAUAUUGGUCAAUGGUCGGAAGACUGAACCAGCCAUGCCGCGUGCAGGAAGAAUGCCUUAUGGGUUGUAAACUGCUUUUAUAUGGGAAGAAUAAGGCGUACGUGUACGCUGAUGACGGUACCAUAUGAAUAAGCAUCGGCUAACUCCGUG
rnacentral:rRNA from 1 species